UAAUUGGGCGUUAAGUUGCAGGGUAUAGACCCGAAACCCGGUGAUCUAGCCAUGGGCAGGUUGAAGGUUGGGUAACACUAACUGGAGGACCGAACCGACUAAUGUUGAAAAAUUAGCGGAUGACCUGUGGCUGGGGGUGAAAGGCCAAUCAAACCGGGAGAUAGCUGGUUCUCCCCGAAAGCUAUUUAGGUAGCGCCUCGUGAAUUCAUCUCCGGGGGUAGAGCACUGUUUCGGCCAGGGGGCCAUCCCGGCUUACCAAUCCGAUGCAAACUGCGAAUACCGGAGAAUGUUAUCACGGGAGACACACGGCGGGUGCUAACGUCCGUCGUGAAGAGGGAAACAACCCAGACCGCCAGCUAAGGUCCCAAAGUCAUGGUUAAGUGGGAAACGAUGUGGGAAGGCCCAGACAGCCAGGAUGUUGGCUUAGAAGCAGCCAUCAUUUAAAGAAAGCGUAAUAGCUCACUGGUCGAGUCGGCCUGCGCGGAAGAUGUAACGGGGCUAAACCAUGCACCGAAGCUGCGGCAGCGACACUGAUGUGUUGUUGGGUAGGGGAGCGUUCUGUAAGCCGUUGAAGGUGUCCUGUGAGGGUUGCUGGAGGUAUCAGAAGUGCGAAUGCUGACAUAAGUAACGAUAAAGCGGGUGAAAAGCCCGCUCGCCGGAAGACCAAGGGUUCCUGUCCAACGUUAAUCGGGGCAGGGUGAGUCGACCCCUAAGGCGAGGCCGAAAGGCGUAGUCGAUGGGAAACGGGUUAAUAUUCCCGUACUUGGUGUUACUGCGAAGGGGGGACGGAGAAGGCUAUGUUGGCCGGGCGACGGUUGUCCCGGUUUAAGCGUGUAGGUGUGUGUUCCAGGUAAAUCCGGUUCACUUUAACACUGAGGCGUGAUGACGAGGCACUACGGUGCUGAAGCAACAAAUGCCCUGCUUCCAGGAAAAGCCUCUAAGCCUCAGGUAACAC
rnacentral:rRNA from 1 species